rnacentral:rRNA from 1 species
GCCUNGUUUAUCAAAAACAUUGAACGGUGAAAAUAUAAGUAGUACCCUGCCAGUGAUCUUUAAACGGCCGCAGUAUCCUAACUGUGCGAAGGUAGCAUAAUCACUUGCCUAUUAAUUGUAGGCUAGAAUGAAGGGGCAAACGAAAUUAUUACUGUCUCUAAUAGGCUUAUAAAAAUUAAUCUAGGAAGCGAAGAAGCUCCUAUAACCUCGCAGGACAAGAAGACCCUAUAGAGCUUUAUUAAACCUCUUUAAAUAAAAGAUAUUAAUUCGGUUGGGGCGACCUAGGAUAACUUAAAACAACCUAAAAUAAAUCGAUAUACAUAUCUAAUUCUAGACCCGCAUACGCGAUCAACGGAACAAGCUACCUUAGGGAUAACAGGCUAAUUAUCUUUAAGAGCUCAUAUCUACAAGAUAGAUUGGCACCUCGAUGUUGGCUUAGAAUUACUUCAUAGUGCAGAAGCUAUGAUAGGCGGUUUGUUCAACCAUUAAUAUUCUACGUGAUCUGAGUUCA